CACAGCAUUCCGUGACUUCAGUUCCCGCCAUCAAAAACAUCUCUCUGAAUCCUUUUUACUUCGCCAUUCUCUCUCUCUCUCUCUCUCUCUCUCUCUGUAAUUUUGCUUUUUACUCAUUUCUUUGAAUGGCGAAAACUAAAGAAGAAGAAGAAGCAGCGAAAUCAGACGGUCUGGAGAUCAUCUCCAUCGGAUCCCUUUACAAAGGCCCCUGGGACAAGAAGUAUUGGAGCUCCUCUAGGGGUAAAGAUCGAUAUCCUUAUCCUGUGGGAUAUCAAGCUGUUCGGGCUCACAAUGGAAGCACUUAUAUGACGGAAAUUCAUGAAGGUCCUAAAGGGCCUUUAUUUGUGAUCUCUUGUGAUGGACAAUCGUGUUCUGGACAAACUCCAGACAUUGCAUGGGAUAAAUUUCAGAAAACAGGUUGCCCACAUUUGAAGAUAUGGCAUGGAAAGAGAUUCUCAUGCAAGAUAGAUGGUGUGGAGUUUUUUGGAUUCAAAAAUCCAUUAAUCCAAAGGUUACUUCGGGAAUUGGUGGCAAAUGUCAAUGGAACAGCAGAAAGGAGUUUGUUAUCUUCCAGAUUCUGCAAUGGGGCUUCUAUAAUGGAACAUGACAAUCAGAGCUCAAGUAUCUGUACUCCUCCUGAUUUACGACCAUACUUGGCCAAAUCACAGAUCAGGAAAAAGAGAAGUACAAGGUGUGAAAUAAUGCAAAACAAGAAUGGGCCUGGCCUUAAACGACCACGAUCUAACGACCUGACUUGUGAUGCUGAGGCUUCAAAUUUAGUACAAGGGAAUCAGGUGAAUCCUAAGCAUGGGUUUCCUCACACUGCUUCAAAAGAAGAAAAUGAAAAACUUCCAGUAGCAUCAGCAGUGCACUCAAAAUCAGUGGGGGAAGAUGAUAACUACUCUUCAGCCAAAGAUGGGUUUCAAUUGAAAUGUGUUGAUUUCUCAGAUCAUCAUGGGGAGAAAGAAGUCAAGAGCAAGUUCGUUAGUUCCCAAAAUGCAAAAUCCACUAGAGUAGCUAACAGCACAUCUAAAGAGUUGGAUAGGUCAGGAGAUACUGAACUGGAAGGAUUCGUUUUUCCAGUAAAAACCAAUGCCAAAGCUAGAGUUUCACCAGUUCCAAAUGACUCCCUGGGCAUCAAUGAUGUUGAUCUUUUUGCACCUGAUACUUUGGAUUUUGUGGAAGAUGAUUGUACAAAUCUUGCUUCAAGUGCAAGGGAUACAACUAGCAGUGUGAAAGAAGAGUUAACUUCUGCUAAUGUAGUCUUUUCUGAUGGCUUGGUGAUUGAGUCUCAUCAAGAAGAUGAAGUAGGAACAUCUAAUUCAAAUACAGGUUCUGAAAAAAGUGAUUCUGAUUCAGUCGGUCAGGAAAUGGCUAAGUUGAUGAUGACGGUUUUACUUCCUCAAGCUAUUCCUUUGCUUAAGGAGUCUUCAAAGAAGAAAAGGGAAAUUGUUAACCCAUGCAAACUGUUGCCCCAAAUGGUGAAUUCUCGAGUGAACAACAUUGAAACUAACCAUUUGUUGAAUCUUCGAUCUUCUGCCAUCAUCCUAACUGAGGAAGCACGUGCAGAACAGGACAAGGGAAUGCAUACCCAAAGUAUAGACCAUGGUUCACUUGUGCCAAAUCUUGAACAUGUGAACUCUGUUAUUCUUGACAGUUUUGAGGAUGAUCAGGCAGGGGAUCAUGUAGCUAAACAAGCUGUAUCGUUUUCCAAAAGUGUGGAGGUUGAUCAAACUAGUUUCAAUAAAGACACAUAUCAUUCCAAUAUUCAGGAACAGUUUGUUAGUAUCAAUGUGAAGCAGGAAACAUCAGAUUGUUGCGAUGAGAUCUCUGAAAACCAAGAUACAAUCUGCCAUAAGGAAGUAAACAUGGCUUCAAAUAAAAAGCCUCAUGGGAGUGACAUAACGAUGUCUGAGUCUACUUCAGGCCAUGUGUCUCUAAUCAUGAAAGCUUUCUCUGAAGAUAUCCAGGGUGUUUGUGUAAAUUUGGAUGAAAACUCAGCAGAUAUUGAAAACCAUUCUAUGGAAAAGAAGUCCAAGAAUGCACUUAAUUGUACUAAAGAUGUAGAUACAAAUGAUAAUAAUCCAAGUGGCAUUGGAAGUCCUGUGCAAUUAUCAGGGAAGGACAUAAGUGCCGACACCAGAACUCCUAAAACUAACUCUUCCUAUCAAGCCCAACAUAAAGUAUAUACUAGAAAGAAAGUCUCAAAACAAGCUUAUUCAACUAGAAAAUACACUGGUCCUCUCUCUGAAAGUAUCAUAUACAGAAAUACUGGAGAUGAUUAUUGCCCUAAUGAGUCUGCUACGACAGGAAUUUCACUUGUUUCAAAGAGUUAUCACUCUUCUGAUGACAAACCAUGCAAUAGAGAUAUCUGUGAUGCUACAGACAAGCUUGAAGGACAGUCGUAUGGACUGCCAGUGGAGAAAACUACUACAGAUUGCAAACCUGAAAUGAGUGAUAUGCCACCUGAGCUGUCUAAUCGAAAUCAAAAGUUGGUUUGUGCCUCUAAAGCAAAGGGUGCAUCAUGCUUACUUGUUCCAUCUGUUUCACUUGAAAGGGGAUUUCAAGAAAACUGUCACAAGGAGAGGCUUGAGCAUAGCAGCAGUGUAGAAAAUGGCUGUCCUGCAUCUUGUCAAAAUCAGGUUACUAGUGUUUUUGACAAGAACAGAUCUAAAGCAAGGGAAGUUCAAGGUAGUUCAGAUGUCAACCAUUGCAGGGAUGUAGAGCUUAAUAGUGAUCUAAGGGGCAUUGUCAACCUUGUAGGAGGCUAUUUCCAUCCUUUGCCUAUUUCAUCAGUAUUGCUGGGUGCAAAAGGAAAUGAAAUCCACAUUUGUGUUUUAUGUGGUCUUCUUGUAGAUAAGGACAGAACCUUGUUCAUCUACAGGGUAUCUAUUGAAGAACCAAGGAUAGGAUGCCCUUCUUUUGUUGGUUACACAUCAGUAACAUUGCCAUUUUCAGAAAUUGAUUCAGAAAGAUGUGGCUUACAAUUCACCCCGGAUGGGCAAUGUCUUGUUUUACUUGACAGUAUUAAAACGCCUUAUUGCAGGGAAGGGAGAAUAGAUUGUACCUGCUCAAUAUGUUCUUCAGGCUGCUCUAAUGAGAAUGCAGUAAAAAUUCUGCAAGUAAAUCAUGGUUAUGUUUCUUUGGUUGUGAAAUUGGAAACAGCUGAAAGUGUGCAAUGUAUAUUGGUUUGUGAAAAUAACUAUCUUGUUGCUGCUGGAAAGAGUGGGAGACUGCAUCUUUGGGUCAUGAAUUCAACAUGGAGUGCAUGGACAGAAGAAUUUAUUCUACCAGCUGGUGACUGCAUAUCUUCUUGUGUAGUGGAAUUGAAGAGAAUUCCAAAGUGUGCUCAUCUGGUGAUUGGGCAUAAUGUUAUUGGGGAAUUUGUUGUAUGGGAUAUUUUGAAAAGGCUCAUCAUCUCAAGAUUUUCUGCUUCUGGCAAUCCAAUUAAGCAAUUCUUACCAAUCAGUUUAUUCAGUUGGCAGCCUGUUUUCAGCUAUGCUGAUAUGAAUGGACGCAUUGAUGAAAUCAUCACGACAACAAAAAUUUUGUCUUCUGAACAUAGGGACUGUUAUUUUCUUCCAUCAGAGGGGGAAGAUAUUGCUCUCUGGCUUCUUCUCUCAACUGUCUCUGAUUUUGAGGCUCAGUACGAACGUUUACCUAGUACUUGCCUAGCAAAUCAAGCCAGAUCAUGGAGGCUAGCUUUACUGGUCAAGGAUAGGGUGAUCUUGGGGAGUACACUGGAUCCAAGGGCUGCUGCAAUUGGUGCAUCAUUUGAUCACGGGAUCAUAGGAAGAGAUGAUGGGCUAGUGUAUAUGUGGGAAUUGUCCACAGGAGCUAGACUUGGUGUCUUGCAUCAUUUCAAAGGUCGCAGUGUUUCAUGCAUUGCAACUGAUGAUUUGAGGCCAGAUGUUGUAGCUGUAGCUGCUGAUGAUGGCCAGCUGCUGAUUUAUCUACACAGCCAAGAGAAUUUUGCAAAUAAGUGCUGAUUGGGAUUACUCUUUGCCAUUAUCUAUUUGGCAUUGAUCGUGCUGGAACCAGUGAAUGUCAACAUAGGGCUAUGCUAAUCCAGACACAUAAAACAAAUGUGAGGCUUUAAAUUAAAGGAUCUGAAAAAGUUGAGCUGCAUCUGAGCAGUAGACCGAAAUGAUUCAGAGAAAAAGAAAGGGAAUGGAGAAAACAAGAUCCGAAACAUUCUUGGGUGUGUGGCUAUGGACUUCAACCUGCUACAGAAAGUUACAGCCCGGACAUGACAGGACGAAAUAUAAUUAAAGUAGAUCACAGGGACCAGCCAUUGAUGAAACCAGUGGGCCUCUAACGUUCUCUCUUGGCCUUAUUCAUUCAAUGCAGGGCAAUGGUGUCCCACUCCCGCUCUUCACGAGCACAAAAAGUGUUGGAAAUCUUCUAUCUUUUUG